rnacentral:rRNA from 1 species
CCUACGGGUGGCAGCAGGCGCGAAAACUUGGCAAUGCGAGAAAUCGUGACCAGGGAACUCCAAGUGGCUGGGGUAAGACCCAGUCUUUUCUUGACUCUUCAAAGGUCUUGGAAUAAGGGGUGGGUAAGGACGGUGCCAGCCGCCGCGGUAAUACCGGCGCCUCAAGUGGUAGUCGAUUUUAUUGGGCCUAAAACGUCCGUAGCCUGUUUGGUACAUUCGUGGGUAAAUCAACCAGCUCAACUGGUUGAAUUCUGCGAGCACGGCCAGACUUGGGACCGGGAGAGGUGUGGGGUACGCUCAGGGUAGGGGUAAAAUCCUGUCAUCCUGAGCGGACCACCUGUUGCGAAGGCGCCACACUAGAACGGAUCCGACGGUCAGGGACGAAGCCUAGGGGCACGAACCGGAUUAGAUACCCGUGUAGUC